GAUGAACGCUGGCGGCGUGCCUAAUACAUGCAAGUCGAGCGAACGGACGAGAAGCUUGCUUCUCUGAUGUUAGCGGCGGACGGGUGAGUAACACGUGGAUAACCUACCUAUAAGACUGGGAUAACUUCGGGAAACCGGAGCUAAUACCGGAUGAUAUUUUGAACCGCAUGGUUCAAAAGUGAAAGACGGUCUUGCUGUCACUUAUAGAUGGAUCCGCGCUGCAUUAGCUAGUUGGUAAGGUAACGGCUUACCAAGGCAACGAUGCAUAGCCGACCUGAGAGGGUGAUCCGCCACACUGUAACUGAGACACGGUCCAGACUCCUACGGGAGGCAGCAGUAGGGACUCUUCCGCAAUGGGCGAAAGCCUGACGGAGCAACGCCGCGUGAGUCAUGAAGGUCUUCGGCUCGUAAAACUCUGUUAUUAGGGAAGAACAUAUGUGUAAGUACCUGUGCACAUCUUGACGGUACCUAAUCAGAAAGCCACGGCUAACUCCGUG
rnacentral:rRNA from 1 species